rnacentral:rRNA from 1 species
CGGAGGAAAAGAAACCAACAGGGAUUGCCCUAGUAACGGCGAGUGAAGCGGCAACAGCUCAAAUUUGAAAUCUGGCGCAAGCCCGAGUUGUAAUUUGUAGAGGAUGCUUCUAGGUAGCGACCGGUCUAAGUUCCUUGGAACAGGACGUCAUAGAGGGUGAGAAUCCCGUAUGUGACUGGCCCGCACCUUCUACGUAGCUCCUUCGACGAGUCGAGUUGUUUGGGAAUGCAGCUCUAAAUGGGAGGUAAAUUUCUUCUAAAGCUAAAUACCGGCCAGAGACCGAUAGCGCACAAGUAGAGUGAUCGAAAGAUGAAAAGCACUUUGGAAAGAGAGUUAAAAAGCACGUGAAAUUGUUGAAAGGGAAGCGCUCACAACCAGACUUCUGGGCGGUGUUCCGCCGGUCUUCUGACCGGUCUACUCACCGUCCCGAGGCCAACAUCAUCUGGGACCGCCGGAUAAGACCUCAGGAAUGUAGCUCCCCUCGGGGAGUGUUAUAGCCUGUGGUGAUGCGGCGCGUCUCGGGUGAGGUCCGCGCUUCGGCAAGGAUGUUGGCGUAAUGGUUGUCAGCGGCCCGUCUUGAAACACGGACCAAGGAGUCUAACAUCUAUGCGAGUGUUCGGGUGUCAAACCCCUACGCGUAAUGAAAGUGAACGGAGGUGGGAAGGGUAACCUGCACCAUCGACCGAUCCUGAUGUCCUCGGAUGGAUUUGAGUAAGAGCAUAGCUGUUGGGACCCGAAAGAUGGUGAACUAUGCCUGAAUAGGGUGAAGCCAGAGGAAACUCUGGUGGAGGCUCGCAGCGGUUCUGACGUGCAAAUCGAUCGUCAAAUUUGGGUAUAGGGGCGAAAGACUAAUCGAACCAU